rnacentral:rRNA from 1 species
GACGAACGCUGGCGGCGUGCUUAACACAUGCCAGUCGAACGGAAAGGCCCUGCUUGCAGGGUACUCGAGUGGCGAACGGGUGAGUAACACGUGGGUGAUCUGCCCUGCACUUCGGGAUAAGCCUGGGAAACUGGGUCUAAUACCGGAUAGGAGCCAUUUUUAGUGUGAUGGUUGGAAAGUUUUUUUCGGUGUAGGAUGAGCUCGCGGCCUAUCAGCUUGUUGGUGGGGUAAUGGCCUACCAAGGCGGCGACGGGUAGCCGGCCUGAGAGGGUGGACGGCCACAUUGGGACUGAGAUACGGCCCAGACUCCUACGGGAGGCAGCAGUGGGGAAUAUUGCACAAUGGGCGCAAGCCUGAUGCAGCGACGCCGCGUGGGGGAUGACGGCCUUCGGGUUGUAAACUCCUUUCGCUAGGGACGAAGCUUUUUGUGACGGUACCUAGAUAAGAAGCACCGGCUAACUACGUG